AUUGAACGCUGGCGGCAGGCCUAACACAUGCAAGUCGAGCGGGGUUUUCGGACCUAGCGGCGGACGGGUGAGUAAUGCGUAGGAAGCUGCCCGAUAGAGGGGGAUACCAGUUGGAAACGACUGUUAAUACCGCAUAAUGUCUACGGACCAAAGUGUGGGACCUUCGGGCCACAUGCUAUCGGAUGCGCCUACGUGGGAUUAGCUAGUUGGUGAGGUAAUGGCUCACCAAGGCGACGAUCUCUAGCUGGUUUGAGAGGAUGAUCAGCCACACUGGAACUGAGACACGGUCCAGACUCCUACGGGAGGCAGCAGUGGGGAAUAUUGGACAAUGGGCGCAAGCCUGAUCCAGCCAUGCCGCGUGUGUGAAGAAGGCCUUCGGGUUGUAAAGCACUUUCAGCGAGGAGGAAGGGAUUGUAGUUAAUAGCUGCAACCUUUGACGUUACUCGCAGAAGAAGCACCGGCUAACUCUGUGCCAGCCGCCGCCGUAAGAC
rnacentral:rRNA from 1 species